rnacentral:rRNA from 1 species
UACGUAGGGCGCAAGCGUUGUUCGGAUUUACUGGGCGUAAAGGGCGCGUAGGCGGCCUUGUCAGUCAGGCGUGAAAGCCCCGGGCUCAACCUGGGAACGGCGCUUGGGACGGCGAGGCUGGAGUUCGGGAGAGGAGAGUGGAAUUCCCAGUGUAGAGGUGAAAUUCGUAGAUAUUGGGAAGAACACCGGUGGCGAAGGCGGCUCACUGGUCCGGUACUGACGCUGAGGUGCGAAAGCGUGGGGAGCAAACAGG